UAGCAUACACUUGUAAAGCGGCGAACGGGUGAGGAAUACAUGGGUAAUCUACCAUCGAGUGGGGAAUAACCAACCGAAAGGUUGGCUAAUACCGCGUACGCCUCCGGAUCUUCGGGUUCGGAGGGAAAGCUGCACUGUGAGUGUAGCGCUCUUUGAUGAGCUCAUGUCCUAUCAGCUUGUUGGUAGGGUAACGGCCUACCAAGGCUUUGACGGGUAGCUGGUCUGAGAGGACGAUCAGCCACACUGGCACUGCGACACGGGCCAGACUCCUACGGGAGGCAGCAGUAAGGAAUAUUGCGCAAUGGGCGAAAGCCUGACGCAGCGACGCCGCGUGGGGGAUGAAGGUCUUCGGAUUGUAAACCCCUUUCGGGAGGGAAGAUGGAACGAGCAAUCGUUCGGACGGUACCUCCAGAAGCAGCCACGGCCAACUUCGUGCCAGCAGCCGCGGUAAUACGAAGGUGGCAAGCGUUGUUCGGAUUCACUGGGCGUACAGGGUGUGUAGGCGGUUUGGUAAGCCUUCUGUUAAAGCUUCGGGCCCAACCCGGAAAGCGCAGAGGGUACUGCCAGGCUAGAGGGUGGGAGAGGAGCGCGGAAUUCCCGGUGUAGCGGUGAAAUGCGUAGAGAUCGGGAGGAAGGCCGGUGGCGAAGGCGGCGCUCUGGAACACACCUGACGCUGAGACACGAAAGCGUGGGGAGCAAACAGGAUUAGAUACCCUGGUAGUCCACGCCCUAAACUAUGGAUACUAAGUGUCGGCGGGUUACCGCCGGUGCCGCAGCUAACGCA
rnacentral:rRNA from 1 species